rnacentral:rRNA from 1 species
UACGAAGGGGGCUAGCGUUGCUCGGAAUCACUGGGCGUAAAGGGUGCGUAGGCGGGUCUUUAAGUCAGGGGUGAAAUCCUGGAGCUCAAACUCCAGAACUGCCUUUGAUACUGAAGAUCUUGAGUUCGGGAGAGGUGAGUGGAACUGCGAGUGUAGAGGUGAAAUUCGUAGAUAUUCGCAAGAACACCAGUGGCGAAGGCGGCUCACUGGCCCGAUACUGACGCUGAGGUGCGAAAGCGUGGGGAGCAAACAGG